GAAGACAACUCCGGAUGUGCUCGACUGAGCACCGAUUGGUGCACUGAAGGGUCAGGAAGAGCAGUCCGGCACGAGGAUUGGCUUUGGAGUGUCCCAUGGAGACGGAACCCAGAACCGCAGCCAGGGGUUUACACGGGGGCGGGGCAGGGUCUUUCCAAGGCGCCUGCGCUGAAGCAGCUUCUCGGCGCCAUUUUGUCCCGGCAACGGUGGCCGCAGCUCUAUCGUAUUUUAAGUUUGUGGCGUGAAGGGAGCAGAGUCGACGUCCGAUAGCUCUAUCUUAGUGCGAAGCCAUCCGCCGUUCACUCCAGUACAGCACCUCGUGACGUUCAGAGGAAUCACAGAGCCGUCGAAAAGUGCCCACUGACGAUGUUUGCCCAUCAAGAAGUUAUCCUUGACUAAAGCUGAGGGGUUUUUUAUUCAUUCUUGAAGUAAUUUCGAACGUGAAAGUUGUACUGAAGAAAGAAAGGACAUCUCAGUGACAGUACUCCAAGGAGCAUGCAAUUCGGAAAUUGGAACGUCCUUGUGGAGUACCUUGGUAGUAUUUAGGUUUUUCCCGUGCCUUACAAAAAUGAUAAUUUUAAAAAUUAUUCAGGAAUAGCAAAGAAACUACUUCUAGCUUUAGAAUGUGUAGAUACGGCCUAGGAAUUUUGUGAGGAAGGGUGGUUUAGGACACAUUUUUCAUCCUUUCUGCCUUGUCUGCAAAAUGGCACUAAUGGAUUUCACCUGACAAGGUUGGAAUUUGUUACAUGAGUUGUUAUAUGUAAAGUGCUUAGACUGAUGUCAAGUAUUUAGGAAGCACUUGGGUAUUAAAUGGUAUUAUUAUGCGUGUGUUAUUACCUGAGAGUCAUUUCAGGAAAUUUAAAUCAUUAUAUUGCAUUUAUAUACAGAGCUGUGGCAGAAGCACCUAGAUCUUGCUCCCUGAAGGUCAUACCAACUUUUCCCAACUCUUUUUUUUCCUAGUUCUUCCCUUCAAGUAUCAGAUACUAUAAUCGCUCUCAACUCUGAUUGUUCCCUGGGACAAACCUCAUGUUUUCUGUUUUGUUUUUGUUCGUACUGUCCUAGCCUUCCCGAAUGGCGUUUUAUCUCUAUAUGUUCAAAUGCUACCUUUUAAGUAAAGCUUUCUUGAAAGCUUCAUAAAGGUGUAAGUACAGCUAAUUUCUUCAUAUUUCCUCCUGCAUAAUUCCCACCACUUUCUGUGUUCCAUUUGAGAUUUUUGUUAGCUUUUAUGUCCUUCGGUUUAAGAAACCAUUCCAGAGAACUGUACCUUGUUCACUUUUGUAAGUUUAGAACAUAUCACAGGCUUUGGCACUUAGUGGCACUCAUUUAUGAAAUCGAAGUUUAUAAAAGGUAUAGUCAGCUAAGAGAGAGCGUUUAAUGGACAGUGUGGCAGUUCAGUUGUGCUUUGUUGGUGUUUUUACAUCCAAGAACACUUCUGUUGGCUACUCAAAAUGAGAACACUUGAGGUUUUAGGAGUUGGAUCGAGUUGAAGAGCAUGUAAGUGAUAGAGCACUGGGAGGACUAUCCCAUAGGUUACGAAUUUUUGUUAGAAUGUGUUCUUGUAUUUAAUAGGUAAUGUUUUUAACCACCAGAGAGAUUGUUUUUCUUAUGUACUUGAUUUUUCACAGAUCUUCCUUCUCAUUAGAAUAUAUAGGCCACUUAGCUCAAUAUAUUGGACUCAGAAUCUCACUCUCCAUGUAUAUUUUUUAAAUCAUAGUAUCAAAAUGCCUCUAAGCGUAAAACUAGGCCAGAGGAUAGGAACUGGGUAAGAUACUGUGUGAGGACAUUUUUUUGAUCCUUGGUUGCUAUGGUACUGAUCAGGGCUUGUCCUUAAGAUUUAGAAGAAAUGGGAAUGAUGGGAACUGCAGUUAAAACGGAGUCCCUGAACUCCAGGCCAUGUGCUGGUACCAAUCUGGGUCUAAGACCCAUUAGGAACCAGGCUGCACAGCAGAAGAUGAACAGGCAGACAAGCCUCCUGGGUUUGUUUUUGUACUGGGGAUCAAACUCAGGACCUUGCGCUUUUGAGGCAGGUGUGGUGCCGCUGAGCUAAAUCCCUGGCCCUCCUUGUCUGUAUUUGCCACUAUUCCUCGCGGCUUGCUUUACAGACUGAGCUCCGCCUCUUUACAGAUCAGCUGUGGUACUGGAUUCCCACAAGAGUGGAAACCCUACUGUGAAUUGCACAUUUGAGAGAUCUGGGUUGCACGUUCCAUUAUAACACUCUGAAGUAAUAGUAGAAGUCAAGUGCACAAUAUAAUAAUAGAAAUACAGUAAAGUGCACAGUAAAUGUAAUGUGCUGAAAUCAUCCCCAAACCAUAUCCGAGGAAAUAUUUUCUUCCUCAAGACUGAUCCUGGUGCUAAAAGAGAAUAGGCACCACUGAAUUAAAAUCUAGGUUCAUAGUAGGCAUUCAUGGAGCUAAAGAGGCAGUUAUGUACUCCUAGCUGAAAAUUUUUCAGAAUUUUUACAGUAACUCAGCAGGACUUUGGAUUGAAUAAGCAUCCUAAUAUAGAAGCACUAGAUUUAAAAACCAGAUGUGUGUCUUCUAAUCAUAACUCUUACUGGCUGUGACCCAGGAUACAUCAUUGUGUGAAUUUUUGCUUUCACAGAAUGAGUUUUAUAGGGCUAAGGUAUUUACAAAUCUUAAUAUUAUAAGAUUAUAAUCUUAUAUAACAAUAAUCCCAUCCAAUUCCUGUUUUUACUUCUCAUGUUUAUCUGUCCCUAUAAGUCUGUUACUUAACUCUUAAAAAUGAAAAUAUUCAGAGGGAUUUAGCACUUGCCUCAAAAGUGCAAGGCCCUGAGUGGAGGGGGGUUCAGACACUGAGUUGAAGAUUUUAGGACUUAAGGAAGUUGUUGAUGUUCAUAUUGCUUAGGAUCAAGUUCUAUCAAGUUCUGAUGUUCUGUCUAUUUACUGUUUUCAUGUACCAAGGGUUUUUUGUGGUGCUGGGAUGGAAACCAGGGCCUUGCAGAUGAUAGGCAAGUGCUCUACCACUGAGCUACAUCCCCAGCCCCUAUUUAUCAAUAGUUCUAUUGUUACUUAGCUUUUUUAGAUACCAGCUGAGCAAGAUUACUGGUUGUGAAGCGUCUGUCGUAUAUACUGUUUAGUUGCUUCAGUAUAUUCUCCUGUAAUUGAUUUUUUAGAAAACUCUAGUGUGAUACACAAAAUUGUUUCCUGACAUCUUAUGGAUCUCAGCUUGCUUUUGGGGGGAAGCAGUGGAAGAACUAAAUAAUUCUUCACAUCUGUUUGCUACUUUUGUGUUUACUAGGCACUUUGAUACAGUGCUGUAUCCUUAAGUGUUGAUACAAAUUCAUUAGUACAUGAACACAGGGCUCUGAAUUGUUUCCACAGGUUUGGAAGGGAAGUUAAAGUAGUCAUGAGAGAGGGAUUUGUUUUUAUUUUUUGUUUUAUUGUUUUUUGGUCAGUUUUUGGCAUGUGUGUUUGAUAAUAUGUACUGAGUCUGCCAGUUCUAACAUCCCACUUAGAGGUUUAUAUAUAUUUGUAUUUAGGGUUACCUCAAAUCCUACAGCAAGCAAAAGUGUUUAUAUAAUUCUCAUGGCUUAGAUCUUGGUCCCUGGGGAAAGGGAUUUUAUAUGAAGGAGCUUAACAAAAUGAAAAGCCAUCUUCCUGUUUCUUUUGUGUAUUGUGUGAUACUGCCUUUAAGGUCUUAAAAUCGCCCAGACUUUGGUAAACCAAGGCAAACUUCUGUUGUUUUCCUCCUGUUUUUGAAGUUCUGCAUUUUGUUACUUAGUCAUGAACAAGUGGUCUUUUCCCAGUAAAUACCAACUUAUACCACAAAACCAGCUUUUCUGUGCUGCUGUGAACUUCCUGUUUUGUCACAUUUCCAUUUAGGGGAAAGAGUGGAUUUUAGAGUAGGCUAACUUUAAUUUCAUGCUUAAAGAUUCUUCUGAAAUUCACUUUGGAAGCUCUCCAGAUGUCUAAAGGGAGAGGGAGGAAAAUGACAUGCCAUGUCUCCAUAAAGUCGUUUGUCAGAAAGCUUCAUUUGGCUCUGUGUCAGGGUUGCUAGGAAGGAAGAGAAACUUUCUGCUGUCAGAAAUUUUAAGUCUAUGACUUUCCAACAUUGUAACUUGCCUUUAGGGUUCCCAUGGUAAAUAUGGUUGAGUUUGUGAAUGAACUGUAUUCUAGCCUUUGAAGACAGGAUGUGUUCACUUCUAGUUAGUAGAUUUUUCUUAAGGAAAUUUGUGAGGACUGUAUUCAGCUGCAUUGGUUCAUUUACAGUAGACAGGCCAAAGUUCAUAUGUUAAUUAGAAUAGAAAUUGGCUACAGUCUCAAUGUGGGCCAUCUUCUGCAUGAAAGUUGGGGUGAAGCCAUUUUAAGAACCUUUUGCAAUCAAAGUUGUGAGUAAAUAGAACAUUUAGUUAUAAAUGAUGAAUUGUCACAUUUUACAAAGUGAAUUCUUAAUUAUGUGUUAAUGGAAUGUGUAGGUAGAACAUGCUUUCACGGUAAACCUGAAUCAUACUAACAUUGCUUCUGAGGGAACCUUGGGAUACCAUUUUUUUCGGUGGUAGAACCAAGCUCUUCCAUAAUUUUUUUUUUAAACCAAAGUGACCUUGGGCUGCUUUUAGUCAGAGCUAUUUCUCCCUUUCUUGACAUAUCAGUCAAAUAAGAAAGAUAAUUGUUUUAUUACAAGUUUCUUCUUCAUUAGCGCCCUGGCCCAGUCCACCUUUAUGUUGGAAAAGUUCUCCUCUAACACUUGGGUUGCCGUAUUUGGAGAUCUGAUGUUGCAUUGUAAAUAUGUGAAUCUACUGUAAGUUUACCAGAUACUUCUUUUUUUCCAUCUACUAAUGUGUUAUUUCUGAAACACAUACAGUAUUUCUCAUAUGAAAAUGAAAAAAGCUUUUCCUAAAUACCCAUCGUCCUCUACUGACUUAUCCUGUUUUGCUUUAUACGAGAAGUAUCAUCACUUAAACCUUAAGUUUACCUUUCUUUUUCUUUUUUUUUUUUUCGGUACUGGGGAUUGAACUUGGGUCCUUGCGCUUGCGCAGCAGGUGGCGAAACCACUGAGCUAAAUCCCUGGCCCAAGUUUACCUUUCUGUUGCCUUUCAUUUAUUUUUUUUUCCUGAGACUAGGCCCUCAUUGUAGUUCAGGCUGGCUUUGCACCUGGGGCAGUUCUCCUGCCUCAGUCUCCCAUACCCAGCCCUGUUCUCCUUACCAAACGGGCACCACUCCAGACCUAGUAAAUUCAAAUCUCUGGAGAAUUCAUAUGCUGGUGUUUGAACCAGUUUCAUUAACAUUGAUUGCAUACAUUCCCAAUAUCAUCUAAAUUCUAGUCUUUUAUUUUGAGAAAGGGUCUUCUGUGUAGCACAGGCUGGCCUUGAACUCACCUUCAGCCUUGUGAGUGUUGGGAUUGCAGGUGUGCACCACCACACCCAGCUUGUUCAUGCUGUUGUUUAUUAUUGGUAUGUCAGACCUUUUUUCCUACUAAUUAUUGACAGGAUUGAUAUGGAUUAUAAAAUGGUGUCUGCUUUUGUUGCCAGUGCAAGAAUUGUUUUAAUGUUUUAAAUAAUCUUGGUAAUGUGACACAUUACAGGCAUCCAAAUGUUUUCUUUGCAUUUUUACUGUCACUAGAUUACUGCUGACUUUCAAACCUAUCAAAGAUAUGUUAGCAUCUGUAUACCUCUAAUUUUUAUAUAACAUGUCUCUAACUCUCAUUUGUAUUUCCUUAGUGCUCUUAAUCAUACUCCCAUAUUACAUUGCACUUUGAAUCCUGUUGAGUUUUCCCUAGGAGGGGAAAAAUAGUGCAAAUCACACAUUUUGAAGACAAAUUCAACAUGUGUAAGUAAGGAACAACAAACAGUCUAUAUAUAAAUCAUAUUACACUUGCAUUCACUUUAAGAGAUGUUAAUGUAUCGCUGGAAGGAUACACGUACAGUGAUUACAUCUUGAAUUGGUGGGGUGGUCAAGAAGAAACCUCGUAUCAUUGAGUUCAAGUAUACAGUACAUUAUAUAACAAUGGAUAAAAUCUCUAGAAACUCUGAAAAUAUUUUGGGUUAUGGAAAUACGGGUGGCUCUAAUCUUUGUGCUCUUGUUACUGUUUUUAACUUGCCCUAAUUGGGGUAUAAACGUAGUAUUUUCCAAGUAUAUAUAAGGCUUCUGAAAUUAUUCUGUAAUCUAAAGGGCAAGAUUCAUUGUGGCAGAACCCCCUUGCUAGGCUUAGAGUGGGCUGCAGUAUAGAGCAGGCAUUUCCCCCCCAUAAUUGGCCACAAUAUACUUGGAGCCAGACCAAAGCCUACAAGUCUCACUGGAGCAUGUUGUAUAGUGUGGAGGCUAGUACAGCUUACCCACCAGUGGCUACCUCGGAGAUCUAAGCCCUGGUGUGUGAAGCUGCAGGGCUCCUAAAUGAGAUAACAUCCCAGCUGAGGACCUUACCCGGUGGCUCCAAACCACAUUCCAUCCUAGAGCUGCCCCUUCUUUGUAGCUUACUAGUUAACCAUGGCCUACCUUUGGUCUGUUCUGCUCUUUUCAUAAGAAUGCCGUAUCCCCCUUUUACAAGCCUUGUCUUUGUCAGCUGGUAUCACCAGAUGCCAUGCAUAUCCCCCUACCCUAUUCUUACCCAUGCUUGUGUAAUCAGUAAAUACAAACGGUCCUGGUUGCUUGGGGUCUUUGCCAUGUGCUUGAUGUGGUCCAUCCCAGUUCCCUGCUAUUUAAGUCUUGUUUCCUUGUCUUUUCUCCUUGCAUCAUGUUGCCACACAGAAGAUCAAGACUCUCCACCAGGGCUUUUGUUAAUUCAUAUUCUCUAUUUCCUGUGUCCUGUCAGUAGUUCUCAUAGGUAGUUAAUGGUUCUCAUGGGCAUUGAUAUUGAACAAAAAAUGGAUAAAUUUUUGAAUUAAAAUUGAAACCCCUCUCAAAAAAACCAAAUGCCCCUUUACCCAAACUGUAAAAUAAGAUAAUGUUCUAAUGUAAACAGUGGGUUUACCCAGUGGCCUUAGAGCCUUGUAACAGAAAGGAUCCCAGCUGGCAUGUUAGUGUGCUCAAUGCUCAACUGAAUUAAAAGGGCAGUGCCAUGUAUUUCAGUAUUUUCUAUACAGCAGGCAUUUUUUAAAAGUAUGGUUUAUUGCAAUACAAAUAUAGGAAAAUUCUCCUUUAUGUACAUUCCCAUGAAUUUUGACUUACACAUUUUUAUGAUGAAAUCAUACCAAUAUAUGACAUUUCCAUCAUGGCAAAAAAUUGCCUUUGGGGUCGGGGGUUUAGCUCAGUGGUUCCGCCACCUGCCUUGCAAGCACAAGGACCUGAGUGUGAUCCCCAGUCCCCACCCCCAAAAUUACCUUGUGCUUAAUUUCUUCUUCCUACCCUCAAGAAUCACUGCUGUAUUUUCUGAUCCUAUAGUUUUCCAGUUCCAAGAUGUCCCAUGUUGGAUUCAUGCAAGAUGUAUGGAUUAUACAGCCUAAGCUUUCAUCUCAUUUAGAUGAAUAAUAACUGCCAGGCUGCUUUCCAGGGCAGCUGUGCUGCUUCACUUUGCACACGCAGUGAUGUACUACCACUGGUGAUCCUCAUCCUCAACAGUGCUUGGUGGGGUCAGUCUCUAGCAUUGUACACUUUCUAAAGAUGAGUGGCAUCUCACUGUAAGUUUAAUUUGCAUUUCCCUAACAAAUAGUGAUGAGUAUCUUUUCACACACGUUUGCCAUCUGUGUAACUUCUUUAGUGAAUUGUCUGGCUCAGCUAUUGCCCAUUUUUUAAAACUGGGCUGUUUCAUACUCUUUAAUAUUGAAAUUCCUCUAUAUAUCUUGGUCACAAGACCUUUGUCAGAGGUGAUUUGCAAGUAUUUUCCUUCAGUUCUCCUUGUUAUUUUUUUUUUGGUACCAGGGAUCGAACUUGGGACCUUGCGCUUGCGAGGCAGGCGCUUGAACCACUGAGCUAAAUCCUCAGGCCCACCUUGUUAUUCUCUUAAUGUUCUUAGAAGAGCAGAAGCUUUUAAUUUUGGUGAAAUCGUGUCCAUUUUUUAUAAGUUGUUUUGUAUUUUGAGUUAUAUAUUGGUUUCUAAUUACUUUUGAAUUAAUUUUUGUAAUGUAUAAGGAUAGAGUUGGAGAGUUUUAUUUUUCUCCUGCAUAUAUCUAAAUAUUCCACCGCCAUUACUUUCACAUUUUCCUGGGCUAAUGUUAAGUAAUGAAAUUGUUUCAUGCUACAGAACAUUAAAACUAAAGAAAUAAGGAUAAAAACAGUUACAUCCUCAAUUCAUAACUGAGUGCUGAAAUAUUGUUUCCUUGUCAAAAUAUCACUAGCACCAGGUUUGACAAGUUACCAAGCUGACGAAUACUGAAGUAUGACUUGUUUGUUAAGUUUUUGGAGGACUGAGAGAUGCAUUUGUGAUAGAAAUACAAGCAAAUGGAUGACAGUCUUAUGAGAUAAGUGCUUUUGUACUCCAGAAUUCAUUUUGUUAUAUGGAAGAGCCAAAACAGAACUUUGUUCUUUAAAACUUUUUUUUUUUUUUUCUUUUUAGGUACCAGGAUCAAGAUGACUUGUACAGCAAAAAGGUAAUCUUAAUCUUAUAAUAAAUUUUAUAUUCAUGCCAAAGUAUAACCGUUAACCUGAAGCUAGAUUAAUCUUGUGUAUACAUUAAUCUUUAGUACAUAUGAAAAUCAUUUUUUCUAAUAGCUAUAUGGAGCUAGUUAUUGCUUAGUUUUACAUUUAUCAGGUAUUACGGCAUCUACAGUAGCUAUAAUUGGCUUAGCUGCUCAAAAUUAGGUUUUAGGACAGCCAUAUGGAAUCUUUUUAUACUUCAUCAUAUUUAAGUGAUUUUUUUCCCUUUUUUUUGGUAUUGGGGAUUGAACUCAGGACCUUGGACUUGUGAGGCAGGCGCAGUGCCCCUGACUUAAAUCCCUGGCCUCAAAAUUAGUUUUUAGGGGGCUGGGGAUGUAGCUCAGUGGUUCCACCGCCUGCCUCACAAGCACAAGGACCUGAGUUUGAUCCCUGGUACCAAAGGUUUUAGAACCAGGCUGUUGUUUUGUUUUUUGAGACAAGGGUUUCACUAUGUAGUUCAGCCUGUCACUGAAGUAUCACUAUGUAGCCCAAGGCUUGCCUGGAACCCAUACCAGUUUCCCUACCUCAGCCUCCUGAGUGCUGGAAUUACAGGUGCAUCCCGUCAUGCCUGGCUUCAGUCUUACUUUUAAACAGCGUUAUUACCUAUAGUGAUAGAAACUGAAGAAUAGUUACACCAACAGCACAGUUACACAUGAUUUGUGUGCUAGUCAAACUUUGGAACUUUAGUAUAGGACUGAUCAUAGACUAGCUUAGGCAUAGUGGUCUUCUGUCUGGAAACAAACUAAAAAUUUAGUAUUGUUUGGGUAUUUUUUAUCUUUGCUACAUAUCAGUUGUAAAAAGAUUUUUACUGUGUUAGUCCUAAUAAUACUGAUUUAAAGUUGUAUCAUAGUGAGCUAUUCAAGUAUAAUGAUUUGCUAUUUUAACUACACAGAUGCACAAAGUCCAGCAAUACUUUGUAGCUAAACUCAGUGAUCAGUACCUUCUUUGGAGGAGAAGUCUGAAUGGAGUAAAUAUGCAUAAACCCAAUAAUGAAUGUAUACUUGGCCAGAGUUCAAAUCAUCUGUUUCUGCUGUGAGUACUGCUGUUCAGGUUGUAACACCUGUUCCUUUAAGCUUACUCAUGUAGGAACAAUUCUCUCUACACAGCACUUUCACAUAUGUGUAUGUGUGUGUGCUUGCGCAUGGUAAGGGGGAGCAAACUCAGGGCCUCACACAUGCUAAGCAAGCAAGUGCUCCACCACUGAACUGUACCCCUACCCUGUAUGUAUUACUUAGUUUGGACCUAAAGGCUAUUUAAUUUUAAGUGACAGGAUAUAGAAACUUUAUUGAUUCUUCAAACUCCUCCUACUCACAAUAAUAAAGGAAAAGAACAAAAACACUGACUCUUUAUUAGCUUUUCCUUUCACUGGAAAGAAAUUACCCAACAGAAGCAACUUAAGAGAGGUGUAUUUUUGGCUCACAGUUUCAAUGCGUUUGAUCCAUGGCUGGCUGGCUCCAUUGCAAAGAUGGCAUGGUAGAAGGACCAGGUGGAGGAUAGCUGUUCAUCUCAUGAUGGGCAGGAAGCAGAGAGAGGAAGAAGAGGAGCUAGAGACAACAAUACACUCCUUAUUCCCCCAGUUUCCCUCCUAUUCUAACCAGGCCUCACCUUCUAACAGUAGUCAGCUAUAAACUCACCAGUGAUGAGCUUUGUGAUGAGUACAGUGCCCCAUGAUCCAGUUACAUUCCACAGUCCCCACCUAUAACUGUGAGACUUCUGAAAUUGAGAACACUUUUUUACAUAUAUUAAAGACUAACUGCCUGAUGACUAACAGGCAUUUUAUAAAGUUCGGAAGUGGGCAACUGUUUCAUUUAUUUCCCUAAUAAACUGGUGGGAUAUACCUGAUUAAGGCGUAAGUCUAUAAUAUUAAGUAAAUGUCCUCAGCUAUGCCCAGUUCUGUCAAACAGAUAUCAACCAAACUUCACUUGUUACAAGACAAAACUUUAAUGAAAAUUGAGCAGUGGAUAUGUAUAAUCCAGGGGCUAAGUAGUUACAAGGGACUGUCAUAGAAA